rnacentral:misc_RNA from 1 species
GAUGGAACGCAGCGAAAUGCGAUAAGUAAUGUGAAUUGCAGAAUUCAGUGAAUCAUCGAAUCUUUGAACGCACAUUGCGCCCCCUGGUAUUCCGGGGGGCAUGCCUGUUCGAGCGUCAUUUCACCACUCAAGCCUCGCUUGGUAUUGGGCGACGCGGUCCGCCGCGCGCCUCAAAUCGACCGGCUGGGUCUUCCGUCCCCUCAGCGUUGUGGAAACUAUUCGCUAAAGGGUGCCGCGGGAGGUCACGCCGCAAAACAACCCCAUUUCUAAGGUUGACCUCGGAUCAGGUAGGGAUACCCGCUGAACUUAAGCAUAUCAAUAAGCGGAGGA